rnacentral:lncRNA from 1 species
UACGACCAUGGGCGAGCGCGGCGUCGGCCGCGCGCUGCAGGCCCUCGGCACAAUGAGCCGAUUGAUGGUCUAGGAGGAAAAGAACCACGUCAAAGUGCCUUGCCUCGGCGGCGUCGGCGAUGGCACGCCAGGUGCACCCUUCGGUCCGUUUUUCGUCGAGGUAGACGACGGCACCAAGAUGGCCUUUAGCAGCAGCGGCGUCCAUCGCGCGAUGAUCGCCUGGCUGCCUCACGGGACACUCGUCGGUGAGUGCACGCAACAUGGCCACGUCGCCGUUGGCUGCCGCUGCGGCCAGGGCCACUGCUGUCGAACCCUCGCGGCGAUUACGCAAGAGGUAGGCGACAACAUCUAGAUGGCCGUUGGCGGCGGCGCGAUUGACACCACCCACCGAGCACCCCUCGGUACGCCUCUCGUGCAGGUAGAUAAGGACGUCUAGGUGACCGUUGGCCGCGGCAUAGUCCAUGGCCCGCCGGGUGCAUCCCUCGGUGCGAUGGCGGUGGAGAAAGUCGACAAUAGCCAGAUGGCCGCGGGCUGCGGCGCGAUUCAUGGCAUACGUCGUGCACCCUUCUCGGCGGUGAUGGUGCAAAAAGACAAUGACGUCCAGGUGACCACCAUCGGCGGCACAGUCCAUCACACCCUGGUCGAAUCCAGGCGCGCCCAUUUCGUGCAGCGCCACAAGGAGACCAAGAUGGCCGCGGUAGGCGGCCAAACACGGCGCCUCUGUAUAGUCGCCCAGGUCGAGGCGGCCCAGCGCCACGAGGCCGCGGAUGGCCGUCGCAUUGCCCGCGUCCAAUAAAUCCGACGGACCCGACCAGGACCGCGAGAUCACGAUGCGCCGCGCAUAGUCGGCCGGCGAGUGGGCGCGCCACAGGCGUGACGCCGCUAUGCACGCACAAAAGUCGGUGUUGCCGAGGAGACUCGUGAUCCCGUUGAUGAUCUCGGGCGGCAAGUCAUAGAGGCUCGUCAGACAUGCUUGCGGCCACUCCAUGUUUUGUUUUUUUUGUAUUGUUCUUGUAUUGUUGUUUUUCAGACCCACCCUUAAAACUUUUUGUGUGCCCCCCUUUUUUGUUGCUGCGGGCCUUGCGCAAGGCCCGCCCAACAACAAAAAUGACAGAGCAAACCGCUCACGGCAAGGCAGGCGCCCGCGCACAGCGUUGGUUUUUAAAAAAAAUAUAUAUUUGUGCCGGUCACGG